GUCAGAGUGAAGUUGUUGUACGGGAACCACGCUGCUCGCCUUCUGCAUCUCCUCCCACUCGUCUAGCCCGUCCACCGUGUCCAGCAGGUCUUACUAGUUGUGGAGUAUGUUGAGAAGUGACGAGCAGGAGAGAAGCAGACCCAGGAGGAGGCAAUGACAGAGAGCAAGCAGAGGAGGGCAAGGCUGUGAAGGGAACGGUUGAGAAACGAAGUCCACGACAAGAGAGACUGCUAGAGGAGUGUCAAUAGCUUACCCGCAGUUUCCCCUGCACCAAUUGGACAUACAUUCUGCUCUCCCAAGGCUGAAGAUGAGCAAAACGCCAAAAAUACUACAGAUGUUUUCCUAGGGAGAGCAGUAUGGUAUCCAAUUGAUGCAGGGGAAACUCAGGAACCUUUCGAUUCCAGACCAGUUUCUUACGCGCGUGCCACUUUGUCUUCAUUGUAGCCAAGAAGUCCUGGACAGUCAUCUGGAUGCUGGUCCCACUAGGGCAAGGGAAGUUCAGAAGUGUAUGAAUCAGCAUCUACUGAAAAGAUACAGUCAGGUUACUGAAGAGAGAAGAUACAGACAUGUUAAUUGUUACUGUCACAAUCAUUGUGACAAUGAUGAAUAUGGAAUUUCUAAAAGCAACUGAAUAUUAUUAGUUUUUCUCCCUCUUGGGGUUCCUGACAAAUACAAAAGCAUAGCAUGCUUCCACCAAAUUACCACCACAACGACGUGUCCGAAAACAAACCUGUAAAAAUUAAAAUCCAUUAG